rnacentral:rRNA from 1 species
UACGGGGGGAGCAAGCGUUGUUCGGAUUUACUGGGCGUAAAGGGCGCGUAGGCGGUCGUGACAAGUCACUUGUGAAAUCUCCGGGCUUAACUCGGAAAGGUCAAGUGAUACUGUCGGACUAGAGUACAGAAGGGGCAACUGGAAUUCUCGGUGUAGCGGUGAAAUGCGCAGAUAUCAGGAGGAACACCGGUGGCGAAGGCGGUUCUCUGGGCAUUACCUGACGCUGAGGAGCGAAAGUGUGGGGAGCGAACAGG